rnacentral:rRNA from 1 species
UACGAAGGGGGCUAGCGUUGCUCGGAAUCACUGGGCGUAAAGCGCACGUAGGCGGCUUUCUAAAGUCAGGGGUGAAAUCCUGGAGCUCAACUCCAGAACUGCCUUUGAUACUGGGUAUCUUGAGUAUGGAAGAGGUAAGUGGAAUUGCGAGUGUAGAGGUGAAAUUCGUAGAUAUUCGCAGGAACACCAGUGGCGAAGGCGGCUUACUGGUC